UGGCGGACGGGUGAGUAACGCGUGAGAAUCUAGCUUCAGGUUGGGGACAACCACUGGAAACGGUGGCUAAUACCGAAUAAGCCGAAAGGUGAAAGAUUAAUUGCCUGGAGAUGAGCUCGCGUCUGAUUAGCUAGUUGGUAGGGUAAAGGCCUACCAAGGCAUCGAUCAGUAGCUGGUCUGAGAGGACGAUCAGCCACACUGGGACUGAGACACGGCCCAGACUCCUACGGGAGGCAGCAGUGGGGAAUUUUCCGCAAUGGGCGAAAGCCUGACGGAGCAAUACCGCGUGAGGGAGGAAGGCUCUUGGGUCGUAAACCUCUUUUCUCAGGGAAGAACAAAAUGACGGUACCUGAGGAAUAAGCAUCGGCUAACUCCGUGCCAGCAGCCGCGGUAAUACGGAGGAUGCAAGCGUUAUCCGGAAUGAUUGGGCGUAAAGCGUCCGCAGGUGGCAGUGUAAGUCUGCUGUCAAAGGUCAGGGCUUAACCCUGAACAGGCAGUGGAAAC
rnacentral:rRNA from 1 species